AAAGACUUAGUCCUAACCUUACUGUUAAUUUUUGCUAGACAUAUACAUGCAAGUAUCCGCACCCCAGUGUAAAUGCCCUUAACGUCUACCCCAAGACAAAAGGAGCAGGUAUCAGGCACACAACCCGCAGUAGCCCAAGACACCUUGCUUAGCCACACCCCCACGGGUAUUCAGCAGUAAUAGACAUUAAGCAAUAAGUGUAAACUUGACUUAGUCAUAGCAAUCCAAGGGUUGGUAAAUCUUGUGCCAGCCACCGCGGUCACACAAGAGACCCAAACUAACGGUAACCGGCGUAAAGUGUGGUAACAUGCUAUCUAACUAACUAAGAUCAAAGUGCAACUAAGCUGUCAUAAGCCUAAGAUGCACCUAAAACCUCCCUAAAAAGGAUCUUAGCGCCCACGAUAAAUUUAAACCCACGAAAGCUAAGGCACAAACUGGGAUUAGAUACCCCACUAUGCUUAGCCCUAAAUCUUGAUACUCGCUAUACCUGAGUAUCCGCCCGAGAACUACGAGCACAAACGCUUAAAACUCUAAGGAUGGCGGUGCCCUAAA
rnacentral:rRNA from 1 species